GAUGAACGCUGGCGGCGUGCCUAAUACAUGCAAGUCGAGCGAACGGACGAGAAGCUUGCUUCUCUGAUGUUAGCGGCGGACGGGUGAGUAACACGUGGAUAACCUACCUAUAAGACUGGGAUAACUUCGGGAAACCGGAGCUAAUACCGGAUAAUAUUUUGAACCGCAUGGUUCAAAAGUGAAAAACGGUCUUGCUGUCACUUAUAGAUGGAUCCGCGCUGCAUUAGCUAGUUGGUAAGGUAACGGCUUACCAAGGCAACGAUGCAUAGCCGACCUGAGAGGGUGAUCGGCCACACUGGAACUGAGACACGGUCCAGACUCCUACGGGAGGCAGCAGUAGGGAAUCUUCCGCAAUGGGCGAAAGCCUGACGGAGCAACGCCGCGUGAGUGAUGAAGGUCUUCGGAUCGUAAAACUCUGUUAUUAGGGAAGAACAUAUGUGUAAGUACCUGUGCACAUCUUGACGGUACCUAAUCAGAAAGCCACGGCUAACUACGUG
rnacentral:rRNA from 1 species